AGUUAAUCAAUUUCCUCCGGACUGGCAGCUCUUGAAAAAAAGGCAUUGGGGUCUAUCUUUUGCCCGUUUCCCGGAGCUCUCUCUCUCACCCAAAGGAGUAAUCUGCUAAUAAUCAGCCUUCAUUGCACGGCAUCAAAUAUUUCAUUUUCCCCAAAUUCCUGUUUCUCCAAACCAAAUGACGCUUCACCAAACCAAUUCGUGUGCAUCUUGUUCCAUAUACCUUCAUGUGAUUCUCUUCCUUUUUAUAAUCCUGCUCUGCUUGCAACCAACCACUGCAGCCCCUGCUCCAACAAAUGAGACCGAUCGUUUGGCUUUGCUCCAAUUUAAAGAAUCUGUAACUUAUGAUCCAUAUCAAAUUUUGAGUUCAUGGAAUGCCUCUGUGAACUUCUGCAAUUGGCUUGGAAUAACAUGCGAUGUUCGACACCAAAGAGUCACGGCCUUGGACCUACCGGGCUACGACUUUGGUGGAUCUCUAUCACCUUACAUCGGCAACCUAAGCUUUCUUAGGUCCAUCAAACUCCAAAACAACAGAUUCUAUGGUGAAAUACCACCCGACUUGUCCAACUGCUCCAAUCUCAGAUUCAUACAUCUUCAUGUGAAUAACUUUACAGGGAAAAUUCCAAUGGAGCUAGGCUCUCUAAUGAAACUUGAAGAACUUCAACUCCUCAAAAACAAUUUGGCAGGAGGGAUCCCACCUUCCCUAGGAAAUCUUUCUUCGCUCAAAUCUUUCGCUGCAGAGUACAAUAACCUGGAGGGAAAUAUUCCAGAUACCAUAGGCCGAUUAGAAGGCUUAGUAGUUUUCUCAAUUCUCAUGAAUAAAUUGUCAGGUAUGAUCCCUUCCUCUCUUUACAACGUGUCAUCUCUCCAAAUAUUUUCAGUUGCAGACAACCAACUUAAUGGCACACUUCCAACAAACAUAGGCCUUAAUCUUCCUAAUCUCCAAGUUCUUCAAUUUGGUGGGAAUGAGUUCUCUGGGCCAAUCCCUACUUCAUUAUGCAAUGCAACUCACCUUCAAAAAAUUGAUUUAGGUAUGAACAAUUUUCUGGGAUCAGUUCCAACUAAUCUUGGAAAUUUGUUGGAUCUUUUCUGGCUAGGUUUGAAUGGCAAUUACCUAGGAAAGAGCCUCCAUUUCUUAACAUCGCUAACAAAUUGUAGCAAACUGGUCUCCGUGGAUUUAAGAGAAAACCAAUUUCAAGGUGUUUUGCCCAAUUCUAUAGCCAACUUGUCAACCAACCUCACUAAAUUAUAUUUUGGAGGCAAUGAAAUAUCUGGAACUAUUCCUGCAUCAUUAGAGAAUCUUGUCAACUUAAUUGGCUUAGGCAUGGAUUAUAAUCACUUCAGUGGCACCAUUCCUACUAGCUUCGGGAGGUUUCAGAAGAUGCAACUGUUGGCUUUAGGUGGAAACAAAUUGUCUGGAGAAAUACCAACCUUCAUAGGCAACCUUACUCAGUUGUUCCGACUCGAGUUACAAGAAAACAGAUUCGAAGGAACCAUACCUCCAAGUAUUGUACACUGCCCAAAUUUGCAGAUCUUGGACGUUUCACAAAAUAACCUUAAUGGAUCCAUACCCCUGGAGCUUAUUGGUCCUUCUUCCCUUACGCUAAUUUUCCUCAAUUUAUCUUACAACUCAUUGACUGGCAAACUGCCAUCUGAAGUAGGUAACCUGGAAAAUAUCAACAAACUGGAUGUUUCUAACAAUAAUUUGUUGGGUGAAAUUCCGCCAUCUAUCGGAGCUUGUUUGACUUUGGAACACCUUAACCUGCAAGGGAAUUCCUUUAUAGGACCCAUUCCAUCAUCUAUGGCUUCUUUGAGAGGUCUUCAACUUCUAGAUGUUUCACAAAAUAACCUAUCAGGAUCCAUUCCAGACGAUUUCAAGAAGCUUCCUUUUUUAGAAAGUUUAAAUCUUUCGUUUAAUAAUUUUGAGGGUGAGGUACCAACUGAAGGAGUUUUUAAUAGCACAAAUGCAAUAUCAUUGAUUGGAAAUGCUAGACUUUGUGGUGGUAUACCAAACUUGAAGUUGCCAAAAUGUCUUGUAAAAGUCAUGAAACGAGGGAAGUCCAGUGGCUUCAGAGUAGCAAUUAUUAUUAUUCCCAUUAUUCUAUUUAUUUGCUUGCUACCAUCAUUUCUUGUUCUCUAUUGGAUAAAAAAAUCAAAAAGGGAUUCACUAUCUAUGGUUUCAAUGGUCCCCCGUGAUUUUAUAUACGGAGAACAUUAUCAAGCACUAGAACCCCGUAAUGUUACUUACAAAGAACUCUAUCAGGCAACUAGUGGAUUUUCUUCAAAUAAUUUAAUUGGAUCUAGCAGAUUUGGCUCUGUAUAUAAAGGAGCUCUUAAUGGGAAUGAAACUCUAGUUGCUAUAAAGGUCCUUAACCUUCAACAGAGGGGAGCUUCCAAAAGUUUCAUGGCUGAAUGCAAUGCAUUACGAAGUAUUCGGCAUCGGAAUCUUGUUAAAAUAAUAACAUGUUGCUCUCACAUGGAUCAUUGUGGAAAUGAAUUCAAAGCUCUAGUGUUUGAAUUCAUGACAAAUGGGAGCUUAGAUGUUUGGUUGCAUCCAGGGCUAGACAACGAAAAUCAAUCAAGGAACUUGAGCCUUCUUCAAAGACUAAAUGUUGCAAUUGAUGUGGCUACUGCUAUAAAUUAUCUUCACAACCAUUCUGUGCUACCAAUUAUUCACUGUGAUUUAAAGCCAAGUAAUAUUCUUCUUGACAAUGACAUGGUUGCUCAUAUAAGUGAUUUUGGCUUAGCAAGGUUCGGCUCAACUAUUGAAGAUUCUUGUUUAAAGGAAACUAUUACAAGUGGGCUAAAGGGAUCUAUUGGCUAUGUUGCUCCAGAGUAUGGCAUGGGCUAUGACACUUCAACAAAGGGAGACGUGUAUAGCUAUGGAAUAAUUAUAUUAGAGAUGUUCUUAGGGAAGCGGCCCACUGACAAAAUGUUUAAAGAUGGUCUCAAUCUCCACUAUUAUGCUAAGAUGGCAGUGGCACAGCCAGAAAGACUUGUUCAAAUUGUAGAUCCAAUCCUUGGAAGAGAAGUUGAAGAAAUGCCAACAACAACAGUAAAUAGAGAAGAUAAUAAUGAAAAUGAAAUGGAAGCAAAUGAAGAAAUUCAUGAUAUUGUCAACCUGUGCCAAAUGGAUGCUAUUGUGCGUGAGUGCUUAGUCCCAAUACUUAAACUUGGACUGGCUUGUUCAGUGCAGUCGCCAAAAGAAAGAAUGAAUAUGGAGGAAGUUACCAGGAUAUUACAUUUGAUAAAAAAUGCUUAUCUUAGUUCUAGGAUUUGAAGAGGUGGACCUUUAUCUAGUGGAAUCCAAGUUGAGGUUCUUCUUUUAGCAACUUGGCUCUUUUGCUUGAUAUCAAUGGCAGCAACACCAACUCUGUUUUCUUUGCUUGUCCAUCAUGAUCCAACAACAUCGGUCAUUCAUGAUGUUGAUAGGAAUCCGUAUUUAUAUAUGGAUAUGUGUCAAGAUGUAUUAGAGACUGCACUUGUGGACUUGCCUACAAACAUAAGUGCAGACACCAACAUCAAGUGUGAAAUACCAAAUUCAAUGGACAUCAUGAAUGUGAAUAAUGAUAUUGAUAUGCUACGUAUAUUUGAUGCAUAUGAAGAUGAAGGGCGUCAUAAAAUUCACAUUCAUGUUUCGUUUGCGCUUAAUGAUCCUCGGUGCACUACUUCUCAACCCAGUCAAGAACAAGCUAUAGUUGGUACGACUUCUUUAUCUGAAGAUCCUGAUUUUAGUGACUUUUUUGGCAAUGAUGUUUUGGCUGGGGCUGCUAUGAAUUUUAGCCAUGACAUUAAUGUCGUUAAGUGGAAAGAGGUUACUAAUGAAAUGCUAUUGGCAUUGGCUAGUCCCAAUACAUUAAUGUCAUCAGGAAAUUUUUCAUUGAAAUCUUCCUACUUAACAGAGCACGGUGGUAGAUUUGAUCGGAAGUAUGACAAAGUUUGGAAGAAGUUAAGGGAAAGUAAAUUGCAUGGAAGACUAAAUAUGUUUCUGUGGAGGCUUGCAAAAGGAGAGCCACCCCUUAAAACCCGAUUGGCAAAUAAUAGCAUAGGGUGUGAGGAUCUUGCGUGCUGUGUGGGGAAGCAGAGGAAUCAGAGCUACAUGUGUUCCGUGAUUGUAUAGUGAUUAGAAUGUUGUGGUUUGCCUCUGAGAUUGGCUUGAGAUGGGAUCAUUUUGAGGCUAAUUCUGCUGUGGAGUUAGUACAAAAGAUAUUAAACCCCCCUAAGGAGUUAAGAACUGAUGGUUUAAAUCAAAAUAAGUUCCCUUUAAUGGCAGCUGUGAUUUGCUACGAAACAUGGAGGAUGCGAAAUUUGAUGCUUUCUAAAAAUGUAAAGUUUGACCUAAUGGAAUUCCCUUGGAGAAUUAAGUCUGCUUUGGAAAGAUUUUCUCCAAGAAAGGAAAAUGAUGGGCAAUGUAAAGAAAGAGAGAAGGAAGAAGGGUGGUGUACACCUCCAAGAUCAAUGCUGAUGCUUCUUGGAGUGAAGGGAAGGCAAGUGUUGCUGGUUUGGCAAGAAACUGUAGAGGUGAAGUUUUGAAGGCAUGGGCUAAACAGGUGGAUGCUGAUUCUGUGGCAAUAGCUGAAUGCUUGGCUAUUGGACUAGCAAUUCAAGCUGCAAUCAAAGAAGGCUAUGAGCAAGUUAAGAUAGAAGGGGAUGCAAAGAUUGUUUUUGAUGCUCUCUGCAACAUUGGUCAAUCGGUAUGCUGGGAGCUUCAUCAGUAUGUUGAAAUGAUUAGAAGUGUAGUUAAGGAGAGUGAGACUCCUAAAUUCUGUUUUAACUGGGUUCCUAGGAUUUUGAACAAAAGUGCUGAUGCAUUGGUUAAAUGGGCCUCACGUUCAUUUUUUUUCUGGUAGUUUAGUUGCUGAGACUCUCCCAAUUUCUGUUUCUGAUGUUGUUGCUCUUGAGAGGGUCUCUUCUUGUUGUACUGUGUAAUUCUGUUUU